GCCCACGGAGGACAUGUGGUUUAUUCGAUGCAACGCGAAGAACCUUACCUACUCUUGACAUCCACAGAACUUAGCAGAGAUGCUUCGGUGCCUUCGGGAACUGUGAGACAGGUGCUGCAUGGCUGUCGUCAGCUCGUGUUGUGAAAUGUUGGGUUAAGUCCCGCAACGAGCGCAACCCUUAUCCUUUGUUGCCAGCACGUCAUGGUGGGAACUCAAAGGAGACUGCCGGUGAUAAACCGGAGGAAGGUGGGGAUGACGUCAAGUCAUCAUGGCCCUUACGAGUAGGGCUACACACGUGCUACAAUGGCAGAUACAAAGUGAAGCGAACUCGCGAGAGCAAGCGGACCACAUAAAGUCUGUCGUAGUCCGGAUUGGAGUCUGCAACUCGACUCCAUGAAGUCGGAAUCGCUAGUAAUCGUAGAUCAGAAUGCUACGGUGAAUACGUUCCCGGGCCUUGUACCCCCGGCCCGUAAAA
rnacentral:rRNA from 1 species